rnacentral:rRNA from 1 species
GAUGAACGCUGGCGGCGUGCCUAAUACAUGCAAGUCGAGCGAACAGACGAGGAGCUUGCUCCUCUGACGUUAGCGGCGGACGGGUGAGUAACACGUGGAUAACCUACCUAUAAGACUGGGAUAACUUCGGGAAACCGGAGCUAAUACCGGAUAAUAUAUUGAACCGCAUGGUUCAAUAGUGAAAGACGGUUUUGCUGUCACUUAUAGAUGGAUCCGCGCCGCAUUAGCUAGUUGGUAAGGUAACGGCUUACCAAGGCAACGAUGCGUAGCCGACCUGAGAGGGUGAUCGGCCACACUGGAACUGAGACACGGUCCAGACUCCUACGGGAGGCAGCAGUAGGGGAUCUUCCGCAAUGGGCGAAAGCUUGACGGAGCAACGCCGCGUGAGUGAUGAAGGUCUUCGGAUCGUAAAACUCUGUUAUUAGGGAAGAACAAAUGUGUAAGUAACUAUGCACGUCUUGGCGGUACCUAAUCAGAAAGCCACGGCUAACUACGUG